UACGAAGAAAAGUUUUCAAAUUGAUUUGGGAAUUAAACAGAAACAGUUCAGUUCGGAAAAUGGAGAGAAGGAAACCGAAAGCAGUAUUCAUGGCCUUCGGUACUAAAGGCGAUGUUUACCCUCUUGCUGCCAUUGCAGCAGCUUUUGCUUGUGACCAGAAACAAUACAACGUGAUUCUAAUAACUCAUUCAGCACACAAGAGCUUAAGUCCUCACUUGAGUGAAAAACAUGUUGAAUAUUGCGCAGUUUCAUCACCCCCGGUUCUUUCUGCUGAUCAGAAUAAUGAUAUUGAAGGGCAAGCAGAGUCAUCCUUUUUAUUGCAGAAAAAGAAAAUUACUGGAGAUCAUAGACGAGAAUGCUAUUCUCUAAUUGAAAGGAUAUUUGAUGAUGGCCUGAGCUUGGAUGGUGAUCUUAUCGUGAUAAAUUUUUUUGCUUUGGAAGGAUGGAGUCUUGCAGAAUGUUUUUCUAUCCGUUGCAUUGUAGCUGCACCUUAUGUUGUUCCAUACAGUGCACCUGCAUCAUUUGAAAGACAAUUCCAAAGAGAACUUCCUCUUCUGUAUAGAUAUCUUACUGAAGCUCCUUCUGGUAAGGUUUGCUGGAAGGAUGUGACUCAUUGGAUGUGGCCUCUUUUCACAGAAAAUUGGGGAUCAUGGAGAAAUGACAACUUACAUCUGAGUCCAUGUCCAUUUACUGAUCCAGUUACAGGCAUUCCUACUUGGUAUGAUAGGCCACAAUCUCCUCUUGUGAUGUAUGGCUUUAGUAAAGAAGUCGUGGAAUGUCCGGCUUAUUGGCCAUCAAGAGUGCGGGUUUGUGGUUUUUGGUACCUUCCUACCGAAUGGCAGUUUACAUGUAUGCAAUGCAGAGAAACAUCAGUAUAUGAUUCAUCAGAACAUCGAUAUGCUAAAGAUAACCUAUGUCCCCGUCAUUUAGAGUUGCAAAAUUUUGUAAAGGCUACACCAAUUUUUAUUGGGUUGAGUGCUAUCGGAAGCAUGGGUUUUCUAAAAGACCCUCAUUCAUUUAUUUGUGUUCUUCAGGAAGUCCUGAGCACCACAAAUUAUAGAUUUAUUCUCUUUACAGGUGGAUGUGAACCUUUAGAGUCGGUGAUUCACACAAUUGCUGCUGAAACAACACUUGACCAGAAUAAUUGGAGUGAAGAUUGUGUCCCUCUUUAUAAUGGCCGGUUGUUUUGUUUUUUUGGUUCAAUUCCAUAUGGUUGGCUUUUCCCAAAAUGUGCUGCUGUGAUUCACCAUGGAGGCAGAUGUUUUUGUGUGCGAUGAUCAUCUCUAAUUAGUGGAACUACUGCUGCUGCAUUACAGGCAGGCACACCACAGGUAGUGUGCCCUUUUGUGCUAGAUCAGUUUUAUUGGGCUGAAAGAAUGCAUUGGCUCGGUGUUUCACCUAAACCGCUCAGUAGAAACCAUUUGCUUCCUGAUAAAAAUGGUGACACAAGUAUCCGGGAAGCUGCACAUGUACUAUCACUUGCAAUACAUGAUGCAUUAUCAUCAAGAAUCAAAACAAGGGCUGCAGAAAUUGCUGAAAGAAUAUAUCUUGAGGAUGGUGUAUCAGAGGCAAUUAAGAACCUCAAGGAAGAGCUGGGUUUAAAUUGAGAUAUUCAAUGCCAUGAAAAUAUUCCAAAAAUCAUCUUCUGCUUUUCUUCGCCAUCAAGUCAAAUUCGUUAUAAUUUUGUUAGCCACUCGCGUCAGGAGCUGACAGCAUUAGAUAGUUUGGACCUGUCCUUUUUGUAGAUCCAUUGGUGUAUAUUUUUUUUAUAAAUAAAUAUUAAUUAGUGGUUGGGUUAGUCUUUCUACAACUUUUUUCGUCUUGCUUAAAAUUUAUUUGAUGUCCCUUAACUAUAACUGAACCAGUGGUCGAACUUGGUUGAUUUAAUUGAGUUAGGAUCAAUUGACAUCUUAUAUAAUAGAAAUUGUUUUACAUAUCAUA